UGCAGUCGACGGUGAAAGAGAGCUUGCUCUCUGGAUCAGUGGCGAACGGGUGASUAWCACGUGAGCAAUCUGCCCCUGACUCUGGGAUAAGCGCUGGAAACGGCGUCUAAUACCGGAUACGAGCUGCGAAGGCAUCUUCAGCAGCUGGAAAGAACUUCGGUCAGGGAUGAGCUCGCGGCCUAUCAGCUAGUUGGUGAGGUAAUGGCUCACCAAGGCGUCGACGGGUAGCCGGCCUGAGAGGGUGACCGGCCACACUGGGACUGAGACACGGCCCAGACUCCUACGGGAGGCAGCAGUGGGGAAUAUUGCACAAUGGGCGCAAGCCUGAUGCAGCAACGCCGCGUGAGGGACGACGGCCUUCGGGUUGUAAACCUCUUUUAGCAGGGAAGAAGCGAAAGUGACGGUACCUGCAGAAAAAGCACCGGCUAACUACGUGCCAGCGCCCCC
rnacentral:rRNA from 1 species